rnacentral:tRNA from 1 species
GCCUGGCUGGCUCAGUUGGAAGAGCACAGAACUCUUGAUCUUGGGGUCAUGAGUUCAAGACACAUGUUGGGUG